AAUUAAGCUAAGCAACAUAUACAUAUACAUACAAAGCAAAUUCCUUUCGACAAGUGAAGAUUUAAGGUACCAUUAUAUUAUUGCAUCCAUGGCUACUACUCGCAAAAUUGGCCUUGUCACCCUCCUCCUCUGCGGCAUUAUUGUUGUGUUUGGAAUCCAGGUGAAGCAUGCAAAUGCCCAACAAAAACCUUGCACUAAAGAGUGUGAUCUUCGAGCAAAGUAUAAGAUUUGCCCGGCAACUUCUGAGGUAUCAAAGGUUGAUAAUUGCACAAAUUGUUGCGUAGAACAAAACCAUGGCUGCAUACUCUAUAAUCACAAUGGAACUGCCUUUUGCCGAAAGCGACCAUCAUUGUCCCCUAAUUAAGAUUAAUUAUACUAUUGCCGCAUUUAUGGUUUGUUGUGUUGGGCAGAGACUUGAAGGGCCAAAUUCAGUACCCUACCUUAUAAAAAUGUGUGGCAGUAUAAGAAAAUAAAGUUGUGUGUCUUGACUACUAGCUAUAAUGUUUGGUGUAGUGGUAAGCGUUUGAUCUUAACAUAUUGUACUGUAGUGUGUAUCUUUGAAUAAUAAAGUUGUGUCUUGGCUACUA